CUUAUUUUUUAUAAGAAUGACGGGCGAUAUGUGCAUAUUUUAUUGGUUAUUUUCAAAUUUAAAUUUAAUUAAAAAAUUUUAAUUGCAAAUCCAGUAGUUAACCAAUCUUAAAAAGGGUAACUCGUUAAUUAUUAAAAAUAGUAUUACAUCUUUUUCUUUUUUAUAUCCUAAACCUUGAUUCGUAUUUAAAUGUUAAAAAUUUAUUAGAAAUAUUUAUAGAAUUAAUCUUUGAAACAAUGGUAUAAAAAGUAGUAAAAAAAAUUCUAUUUAACGUGGGUUAUCGAUUACAUGACAUAAUCCUCUGUAAACUUAAAAUACCGCCAUUUUGUUUAGAUUUCUUAUAUUUAAAUACUAUCUUUAAGUAAAAAUAAAA
rnacentral:rRNA from 1 species